rnacentral:lncRNA from 1 species
AUACAAUAUUCAUACAGUCCUAUCGAUAUAUAUAACAGAAUUUCUCUGUGCUACAUUCGCGCUUAACAGCUCAUUCUUACGGUUUGUUGUCAAAACAACAAAUGCAAUUCGUUACGAAAAACUAUAUUUGGAAUUAAUACACAACCAGGUUUAUUCUCGAAUCAAUUCGAUAUUGCGCCUUCCUGUAUACCGUUUAUUAAACUCCAUUUACUUGCAGGACAAUGGAGGAAAUAUGCAGAGUUUGCAUAGGAACUUCUCGGGUAUUCACAAACAUUUUCGACGAGUGACCAAAGUGGGACACUUGCAUUGCUGACAUGAUAGCCCAUUGUACAGGAUACGUGGUUAGGCGAGGAGACUUACCAUCAGAUAAAAUAUGUCCGCAUUGCCUUCAGUGGGUGCUUUUAAUCUAUGGAAAACCUGCGAGCUGAGCCAUAAAUUAUAAUUCCCUGAGAUAGAGGCGGAUAUAGAAGAAAUGUGUGAAAAUCAUGAAGACGAGGUUUCAGAAAACUCAUCCGUGUUCACACUGGGGAGCGACCACAUAAAUGUACUCACUGCGGGAAGGGUUUUUUCCGAUCCGUAAUUCUUCGCGAUCACAUCUGAUUGCAUACAGGUGAUCAACGCUUCCAAUGCUCUUUAUGCAAGAUGGCUUUUAACAAAAAACAACAUUUGGAAACACAUUUACGCACUCACACGGGAGAGCGGCCGUAUAAGUGUAUGAUGUGUGAUAAGUCCUUUUCCCAAGCUGGAACUCUUGCGGUUCACACAUACCGCACACAUACCGGAGAACGAGCCUACAAAUGCUCGGAGUGAUCAAAGUCGUUUAUACAGAAAUAUGAACUAAAAUUACACAUCCGUAGUCACACUGGGGAGAGACCGUAUAAGUGCAAUCAAUGUUCAAAGUUGUUUGCAAAACUAGACACUCUGAAAGCGCACAUACGAAGUCACUCUGAAGAUCGGCAUUUCCAAUGCUCGCACUGCUCAAAAUCAUUUAAGCAAAGAUCUGGCCUUAAUAAGCACACCCGUACGCACCACACCUGAGAGAAUCUGAACCAAUGUGCUUACUGCGAAAAGUCCUUUAAACAAACAGGUGAUCGGCCCUACUCUUGCUCUAACUGCUCGAAAUUAUUCAAGCAAAAGCAGCAUCUCACUCAACAUAUCCUAACGCACAUUGAUGGAGAACUGUUCUCGUGUUCUUACUGCCCAAAGACUUUAAAAAAAAACUCCUAUCUACAAAAACACACUCGAACUCACACAGAAAAAGGACUUUAAAGUGUUAAAGAUGGAAAAAUUAAAAAUGUUGCCCC